UCGAGAAUCUUCCACAAUGGACGAAAGUCUGAUGGAGCGACGCCGCGUGAGUGAUGAAGGCCCUACGGGUUGUAAAACUCUGUCAGGAGAGAAGAAUCGCCGGGAUGCCAAUACCAUCCUGGUUUUGACGUUAUCUCCAGAGGAAGCUCCGGCUAACUCCGUGCCAGCAGCCGCGGUAAUACGGGGGGAGCAAGCGUUGUCCGGAAUUAUUGGGCGUAAAGGGCGUGUAGGCGGCUUGGUCAGUCGAAUGUGAAAUCCCACGGCUCAACCGUGGAAUUGCGUUCGAUACUGCCUGGCUUGAGUAUGUGAGAGGUGUGCGGAAUUCCUGGUGUAGCGGUGGAAUGCGUAGAUAUCAGGAAGAACACCGAUGGGCAAGGCAGCACACUGGCGCAAUACUGACGC
rnacentral:rRNA from 1 species